GACGAACGCUGGCGGCGUGCUUAACACAUGCGAGUCGAACGGAAAGGCCUCUUUCGGGGGGUACUCGAGUGGCGAACGGGUGAGUAACACGUGAGUAACCUGCCCUUGACUUUGGGAUAACUUCAGGAAACUGGGGCUAAUACCGGAUAGGAGCUCCUGCUGCAUGGUGGGGGUUGGAAAGUUUCGGCGGUUGGGGAUGGACUCGCGGCUUAUCAGCUUGUUGGUGGGGUAGUGGCUUACCAAGGCUUUGACGGGUAGCCGGCCUGAGAGGGUGACCGGCCACAUUGGGACUGAGAUACGGCCCAGACUCCUACGGGAGGCAGCAGUGGGGAAUAUUGCACAAUGGGUGGAAGCCUGAUGCAGCAACGCCGUGUGCGGGAUGACGGCCUUCGGGUUGUAAACCGCUUUCGCUCAUGACGAAGCUUUGUGUGACGGUAGUGGGUAAAGAAGCACCGGCUAACUACGUA
rnacentral:rRNA from 1 species